GCCCGUGUGGGCAAGUGGAUUAAGCCGCUCCCCUCCGGAGGGAGAGAUCUUGGGUUCGAUCCCCAACUCAGGUG